UGAGCAAUCUGCCCUUCUCUUCGGAAUAAGCGUGGGAAACCGCGUCUAAUGCCGAAUACGACCUCCUUUCGCAUGAUCGGAGGUGGAAAGCUCCGGCGGAGAAGGAUGAGCUCGCGGCCUAUCAGCUAGUUGGUGUGGGUAAUGGCCCACCAAGGCGACGACGGGUAGCCGGCCUGAGAGGGUGACCGGCCACACUGGGACUGAGACACGGCCCAGACUCCUACGGGAGGCAG
rnacentral:rRNA from 1 species